UACGUAGGGACCAAGCGUUGUUCGGAUUUACUGGGCGUAAAGGGCGCGUAGGCGGCAAAUUAAGUCAGCUGUGAAAUCUCCGAGCUUAACUCGGAACUGUCAGCUGAUACUGAUGUGCUAGAGUGCGGAGGGGCAAUCGGAAUUCUUGGUGUAGCGGUGAAAUGCGUAGAUAUCAAGAGGAACACCUGAGGUGAAGACGGGUUGCUGGGCCGACACUGACGCUGAGUGCGCGAAAGCCAGGGGAGCAAACGGG
rnacentral:rRNA from 1 species